rnacentral:lncRNA from 1 species
CACGCAACAUUAGUGCGGAAAGUAAACGCUACUGUGCGUACUUCUCGUACCACCGGCCUGUACUGUCAGUACUUGCGUUGCCUAGUGAACCUCAAGAGUCCACACAACACGAGUAAUUCAACGAUCAUGAGAUCUGGACAUCGCUGCUGAUAGAGGAUACCGGCAUUUCUCGUCCUUGGCCUGACAAUCCAGCGGUAGUCAGUGUUGUUCUCUCAUCAUUUUUCCUGCAGUCGGGGCAACUCUACCGAUUUGAGUUUGGGUCUCGGCCUUGCUCCGGUAGAGCUCUGCUUUGUUCUUGCCAACAACCAACAAUGCUUUCGUUCAAACUGCUUCCAUCCAAGUGUUGGGAUAGUUUUCCUGGGAGAUAUCUGCAUUGCUCCGAUAUCAACGCUGGCAGCCCGGCGCGUAGAUCGUAGCUUCAUCAUUCUUCCUGCAGUCGGGGCAUCUCUGCCGUUUGAGUAUGGGUCUCGGCCUUACUCCGGUAGAGCUCUGCCUUGUUCUUGCCAACAACCAACAAUGCUUCCAUCCAAGUGCUGGGAUAGUUUGCCACCCGAUAUCUCGGACUGCGAUUCUUGGCUCAUCUGUGAGCGCCCACAUCCACAAAGGAUUCCACACAUCGUUGGAACUUUUCUUCCUCUGUGAGAAUUCUGCUUUGCUCCGAUAUCAACGCUGGCAGCCCGGCGCGUAGAUCGUAGCUUCAUCAUUUUUCCUGCAGUCGGGGCAUCUCUGCCGUUUGAGUAUGGGUCUCGGCUUUACUCCGGUAGAGCUCUGCCUUGUUCUUGCCAACAACCAACAAUGCUUCCAUCCAAGUGCUGGGAUAGUUUGCCACCCGAUAUCUCGGACUGUGAUUCUUGGCUCAUCUGUGAGCGCCUACAUCCACAAAGGAUUCCAACACCGUUGAAACUGUUUCUUCCUCUGGGAGAAUUCUGCUUUGCUCCGAUAUCAACGCUGGUAGCCCGGCACGUAGAUCGGACUCAAUCGUUAGUCAGCGAUUGUUGGAUACGUUCUCUCAUCAUCGAAAGCUCCAUCAUUUUUCCUGCAGUCGGGGCAUCUCUGCCGUUUGAGUAUGGGUCUCGGCCUUACUCCGGUAGAGCUCUGCCUUGUUCUUGCCAACAACCAACAAUGCUUCCAUCCAAGUGCUGGGAUAGUUUGCCACCCGAUAUCUCGGACUGCGAUUCUUGGCUCAUCUGUGAGCGCCUACAUCCACAAAGGAUUCCACACACCGUUGAAACUGUUUCUUCCUCUGGGAGAAUUCUGCUUUGCUCCGAUAUCAACGCUGGCAGCCCGGCACGUAGAUCGGACUCAAUCGUUAGUCAGCGAUUGUUGGAUACGUUCUCUCAUCAUCGAAAGCUCCAUCAUUUUUCCUGCAGUCGGGGCAUCUCUGCCGUUUGAGUAUGGGUCUCGGCCUUACUCCGGUAGAGCUCUGCCUUGUUCUUGCCAACAACCAACAAUGCUUCCGUCCAAGUGCUGGGAUAGUUUGCCACCCGAUAUCUCGGACUGUGAUUCUUGGCUCAUCUGUGAGCGCCUACAUCCACAAAGGAUUCCACACACCGUUGAAACUGUUUCUUCCUCUGGGAGAAUUCUGCUUUGCUCCGAUAUCAACGCUGGCAGCCCGGCACGUAGAUCGGACUCAAUCGUUAGUCAGCGAUUGUUGGAUACGUUCUCUCAUCAUCGAAAGCUCCAUCAUUUUUCCUGCAGUCGGGGCAUCUCUGCCGUUUGAGUAUGGGUCUCGGCCUUACUCCGGUAGAGCUCUGCCUUGUUCUUGCCAACAACCAACAAUGCUUCCAUCCAAGUGCUGGGAUAGUUUGCCACCCGAUAUCUCGGACUGCGAUUCUUGGCUCAUCUGUGAGCGCCUACAUCCACAAAGGAUUCCACACACCGUUGAAACUGUUUCUUCCUCUGGGAGAAUUCUGCUUUGCUCCGAUAUCAACGCUGGCAGCCCGGCACGUAGAUCGGACUCAAUCGUUAGUCAGCGAUUGUUGGAUACGUUCUCUCAUCAUCGAAAGCUCCAUCAUUUUUCCUGCAGUCGGGGCAUCUCUGCCGUUUGAGUAUGGGUCUCGGCCUUACUCCGGUAGAGCUCUGCCUUGUUCUUGCCAACAACCAACAAUGCUUCCAUCCAAGUGCUGGGAUAGUUUGCCACCCGAUAUCUCGGACUGUGAUUCUUGGCUCAUCUGUGAGCGCCUACAUCCACAAAGGAUUCCACACACCGUUGAAACUGUUUCUUCCUCUGGGAGAAUUCUGCUUUGCUCCGAUAUCAACGCUGGCAGCCCGGCACGUAGAUCGGACUCAAUCGUUAGUCAGCGAUUGUUGGAUACGUUCUCUCAUCAUCGAAAGCUCCAUCAUUUUUCCUGCAGUCGGGGCAUCUCUGCCGUUUGAGUAUGGGUCUCGGCCUUACUCCGGUAGAGCUCUGCCUUGUUCUUGCCAACAACCAACAAUGCUUCCAUCCAAGUGCUGGGAUAGUUUGCCACCCGAUAUCUCGGACUGCGAUUCUUGGCUCAUCUGUGAGCGCCUACAUCCACAAAGGAUUCCACACACCGUUGAAACUGUUUCUUCCUCUGGGAGAAUUCUGCUUUGCUCCGAUAUCAACGCUGGCAGCCCGGCACGUAGAUCGGACUCAAUCGUUAGUCAGCGAUUGUUGGAUACGUUCUCUCAUCAUCGAAAGCUCCAUCAUUUUUCCUGCAGUCGGGGCAUCUCUGCCGUUUGAGUAUGGGUCUCGACUUUACUCCGGUAGAGCUCUGCCUUGUUCUUGCCAACAACCAACAAUGCUUCCAUCCAAGUGCUGGGAUAGUUUGCCGAACGUUUUCUCGGACUGUGAUUCAUGGCUCAUCUGUGAGCGCCUACAUUGACAAGGGAUUGCACACACCGUUGAAACUGUUUCUUCCUCUGGGAGAAUUCUGCUUCGCAGCGGUUUAAAAAUGGAACAACAUCAACAACUUACUUUACACGACGAAUUCUUAUAAUUAAGUCCGAUUUCAACGCAACCAUUUUAGCGCACGCACAAUAUGGUGCCAAUCUCAAUCAUUAUCCUCCGCCUGCUUCUGUUAAAACCUUGCAGUCAUGAUCACCAUCAUCACCACAAAAAUUUAGUUUGAGAUACAACAUUCGGGCAUUGUUCAAUCUAUGGUAUCCAUCAAACAAAUCUCUAAGAUGCUGGACAUUACUUCGUCUGAAUAUAAACAGCUUCGUUUGAAAAUGAUACCUAAUUGUAAUCAGCGAUCUUCAUCAAGCCAUCAACACCACAACAAGAAAAUCGGCCCUUUUCAGGGCCACCAAGUGUU